rnacentral:tRNA from 1 species
GGCCGAGUAGCUCAGUGGUAGAGCCGGUGCCUGUUAAGCACUUUGCCGUGUGUUCGACUCACACCCCGGCCG